rnacentral:rRNA from 1 species
CACGUAGGAUCCGAGCGUUAUCCGAAUUUACUGGGCGUAAAGCGCGUGCAGGCGGCCAGGUAAGUUGGACGUGAAAUCUCCCGGCUCAACUGGGAGGGGUCGUUCAAGACUGCCUGGCUAGAGGGCGGUAGAGGGAGGUGGAAUUCCCGGUGUAGUGGUGAAAUGCGUAGAUAUCGGGAGGAACACCAGUGGCGAAAGCGGCCUCCUGGGCCGCCCCUGACGCUCAGACGCGAAAGCUAGGGGAGCGAACGGG